GGCGAUUCAUGCCUAACAUAACACAAUCAUCAGGGUCGUCCUAAGAAUUUGGAGGCUCGGCUCUGGGAAUGAAAAGAGGCCAGUGAAAAA
rnacentral:pre_miRNA from 1 species